AUUGAACGCUGGCGGCAGGCCUAACACAUGCAAGUCGAACGAGUGGCGGACGGGUGAGUAAUGUCUGGGAAACUGCCUGAUGGAGGGGGAUAACUACUGGAAACGGUAGCUAAUACCGCAUACCAUCAGAUGUGCCCAGAUGGGAUUAGCUAGUUGGUGGGGUAACGGCUCACCAAGGCGACGAUCCCUAGCUGGUCUGAGAGGAUGACCAGCCAAACUGGAACUGAGACACGGUCCAGACUCCUACGGGAGGCAGCAGUGGGGAAUAUUGCACAAUGGGCGCAAGCCUGAUGCAGCCAUGCCGCGUGUGUGAAGAAGGCCUUCGGGUUGUAAAGUACUGUUAGCGGGGAGGCGGUACCCGCAGAAGAAGCACCGGCUAACUCAGGGCCAGCCGCCGCGGUAAUUC
rnacentral:rRNA from 1 species